UACGGAGGGCGCAAGCGGUGUUCGGAAUUACUGGGCGUAAAGCGCGUGUAGGCGGCUUGGCAAGUCGGCUGUGAAAGCCCGGGGCUCAACCCCGGAGGGUCAGCCGAAACUGCCUCGCUCGGGUCCCGGAGAGGGUGGCGGAAUUUCCGGUGUAGAGGUGAAAUUCGUAGAUAUCGGAAGGAACACCAGUGGCGAAGGCGGCCUCCUGGACGGUGACUGACGCUGAGCCGCGAACGCGUGGGGAGCAAACAGG
rnacentral:rRNA from 1 species